rnacentral:rRNA from 1 species
GACAGAGGGUGCAAACGUUGUUCGGAAUUACUGGGCGUAAAGCGAGUGUAGGCGGUUCGAUAAGUCGGAUGUGAAAGCCCCGGGCUCAACCCGGGAAGUGCACUCGAUACUGUCGAGCUAGAGUAUCGGAGAGGUUGGUGAAAUUCUCGGUGUAGAGGUGAAAUUCGUAGAUAUCGAGAGGAACACCGGUGGCGAAGGCGGCCAACUGGACGAAUACUGACGCUGAGACUCGAAAGCGUGGGGAGCAAACAGG